CCUACGGGAGGCAGCAGUGAGGAAUAUUGGUCAAUGGGCGCGAGCCUGAACCAGCCAAGUAGCGUGAAGGAUGACUGCCCUACGGUUUGUAAACUUCUUUUAUAAAGGAAUAAAGUGAGGCGUGUGUGCUUUUUUGUAUGUACUUUAUGAAUAAGGAUCGGCUAACUCCGUGCCAGCAGCCGCGGUAAUACGGAGGAUCCGAGCGUUAUCCGGAUUUAUUGGGUUGAAAGGGAGCGUAGAUGGGUUGUUAAGUCAGUUGUGAAAGUUUGCGGCUCAACCGUAAAAUUGCAAUUGAUACUGGUAGCCUUGAGUACUGUUGAGGUAGGCGGAAUUCGUGGUGUAGCGGUGAAAUGCUUAGAUAUCACGAAGAACUCCGAUUGCGAAGGCAGUCUACUAAAC
rnacentral:rRNA from 1 species